UACGGAGGGUGCGAGCGUUGUCCGGAAUCACUGGGCGUAAAGCGCGCGCAGGUGGUUUCUUAAGUCUGAUGUGAAAGCCCACGGCUCAACCGUGGAGGGUCAUUGGAAACUGGGGAACUUGAGUGCAGGAGAGAAGAGUGGAAUUCCACGUGUAGCGGUGAAAUGCGUAGAGAUGUGGAGGAACACCAGUGGCGAAGGCGACUCUUUGGCCUGUAACUGACACUGAGGCGCGAAAGCGUGGGGAGCAAACAGG
rnacentral:rRNA from 1 species